UUAUAAAUGAGCCAAAUGAAAGGAAAAGGAGAAAGAAACAAAUCACACUUCACUUCUUGGUCUAACCGUUCAUUCGUGUUCCGCUUCUUUCUCUUCUUUCUUUGCUCUUUUCUCGCUUCCCUCACUCACUUCUUUCGUUCAGUCCAUUGAAAAAGAGCAAAGCAAAAGAAGAGAAAGGAAGA
rnacentral:ribozyme from 1 species